rnacentral:rRNA from 1 species
UACGUAGGUGGCAAGCGUUGUCCAGAUUUAUUGGGCGUAAAGGGAGCGCAGGCGGUGACUUAAGUCUGAUGUGAAAGCCCACGGCUCAACCGUGGAAGGUCAUUGGAAACUGGGUCACUUGAAUAUAGACGAGGAAAGUGGAAUUCCAUGUGUAGCGGUGAAAUGCGUAGAUAUAUGGAGGAACACCAGUGGCGAAGGCGACUUUCUGGUCUAUUAUUGACGCUGAGGCUCGAAAGCAUGGGUAGGCAAACAGGAUUAGA